GAACACAGCGAGUAGUUCCGGUUAGUAGAUCUCCAAACACUGCGUUAUUGUCGGUGGUCAUCUUGUCAUGCAUCACUGUGUUAUUGUACAUGUAUGAGGCUUAGUCGGUGACCGUUUCCCUUCGGAAGAGCCAAGCCCCGCGGGGGAUAGGCAUGUGGAUCAGGGCUUAGAGAAGAACCAGCUCCGUCCUCCGCAGCGGGUCGGGACACACGGGUCACACAGAGCCCAGACCCGGAGGUCCUACGUCCAGGUCAUCAUGGCGACUCCGGUCAGCAUCCCCAGUAAGACGUGGGAGCUGAGCCUCUAUGAGCUACACCGGAGCCCCCAGGAGGCCAUCCUGGACAGCACCCUGGUGGCGGUCUCUCCGCGCUCACUGCACAGCGAGCUCAUGUGCCCCAUCUGCCUGGACAUGCUGAAGAACACCAUGACCACCAAGGAGUGCCUGCACCGCUUCUGCUCCGAGUGCAUCGUGACGGCCCUGCGCUCCGGGAACAAGGAGUGUCCGACCUGCCGGAAGAAGCUGGUCUCCAGGCGCUCGCUGCGCCGCGACGCUAACUUCGACGCCCUGAUCUCCAAGAUCUACCCCAGCCGGCGGGAGUACGACGCCCACCAGGAGCGCGUCCUGGAGCGCCUCAGCCGGCUCCACAACAAGGAGGCGCUGAGCUCCAGCAUCGAGAAGGGGCUCCAGGAGCAGGCCCGCUCCAGGGGUCAGAGGGUGAAGAAGCCGACUCAGGAGAGUGACAACACCACCUUCAGCGGGGGCGAGGAGAAUGGCGACGCCCACUCCCACCUGUCCCAUGACUCCGCCCACCUGCCUCAGGACCCCGCCCCCCUUGCGCAAGAGCCCGCCCCUUUUCUUGGCCCUCCACCCCAGGACUCUGCCCCCUUGGAGGCGGGGCCGAGCAUCAAGCGGCCACGCCUCUCUGACGGGGGCUCCUCCCCCCCGGUGGUGGAGGCGGGGAGCCUGCCGCGGCGCCUCAGAGAAGGCUCCGCCUCCGAGAUCGAGCUGGUGUUCAGGCCACACCCCCAGCUGGUCUCCUGCCAGGAGUACAGCCAGACCAGGUACGUUAAGACCACGGCCAACGCCACGGUGGACCACCUGUCUAAGUACCUGGCACUGCGCAUCGCCCUGGAGGAGAGGAGGAGCCGACAGGUGGAGGAGGAGGAGGCGGCGCAGGAGGAGGGGAGAGGAGGAGGAGGAGGAGGCUCCAUCCUGACCGACGUCAGCGAGAAGCAGUACACCAUCUACACCCCCACAGGGGGCCAGUUCUCCACUCUGAAUGGCUCUCUGACGCUGGAGUUGGUCAACGAGAAGUACUGGAAGAUCCGAAAACCUCUGGAGCUCUACUACGCCAUCAGCAAGGACCAGCCUAGCCCCUCCCACAACCCCCACACACCUGACCCUAGCCCCUCCCACUAAUAAUACACCUGACCCUGGCCCCUCCCACAACCCCCACACACCUGACCCUAGUCCCUCCCACUAAUAACACACCUGACCCUGGCCCCUCCCACAACCCCCACACACCUGGCCCUAGUCCCUCCCACUAAUAACACACCUGACCCUAGUCCCUCCCACUAAUAACACACCUGACCCUAGCCCCUGCCAUAACAACACCUGACCCUAGCCCCUCCCACAACCCUUACACACCUGACCCAAGCAACACAUCUGACUUUAGCCCCUCCCAUAAUCCCUGCCCACAGCCCCUCCCCUAACAUCUGUCCGUAAACCCUUCCCCUUACCAACACCUGACCCUAGCCCCUCCCAUAACCCAACACCUGAUCCAAGCCCCUCCCACAACCCUCACUUGACCCUAGCCCCUCCCAUAAUAACACACCUGACCCUAUCCCAAACCUGACCCUAGCCCCUCCCACCGCCCCUCCGUCUCUCUGAUGCACUUUACGACGGCCCCCGGCCUACCGUCUGACCUUCUGACCUUCUGUUUUGACAACCGCUGCUCAUACUUCAGCUCUGUUACCGGCCCUCGUUGUAACCCGGGUGGAACCUGCACAAUAAAAUCAUCCAUCACCUGGCUGCUA